AGAAUCAACGCUGGCGGCGUGCCUAACACAUGCAAGUCGCACGAGAAAGGGGAGCAAUCCCUGAGUAAAGUGGCGCACGGGUGAGUAACACGUGAAUCAUCUACCUCCGAGUGGGGAAUAACCUAGAGAAAUCUGGGCUAAUACCGCAUAACACUUACGAGUCAAAGCAGCAAUGCGCUUGGAGAGGAGUUCGCGGCCGAUUAGUUAGUUGGCGGGUAAUGGCCCACCAAGACGAUGAUCGGUA
rnacentral:rRNA from 1 species